UACAGAGGUCCCGAGCGUUGUUCGGAUUCAUUGGGCGUAAAGGGUGCGUAGGCGGCGGGGUAAGUCUGAUGUGAAAUCCCGGGGCUCAACCUCGUGGAAGUCGGUAAUACUGUUAAACUAGAGGGUCGGAGAGGUUAACGGAAUGCUAUGUGUAGCGGUAAAAUGCUCAAAUAUAUAGUAGAACACCAAACGGCGAAGGCAGUUAACUAUUCGAUUCCUGACGUUGAGGCACGAAAGCGUGGGGAGCAAGACGG
rnacentral:rRNA from 1 species